UUAAAACUUCUUUUGACCUAUUGACAGCUUUUAACAAUUUAGUAUACUCCUAAGAACAAAAUUUGGAGCAUAUUUGUUUCUUUCUACCUGAUUCCUCCAGAAUUGGAAACUAUUUAACACUUGCACUUUGAGCCCUAAAACACCACGUAUGAAGUUCGAAUACUCUGAGUCUCCUGUACUAUGAAGAAACCAAGCCACACGAGAAGUUCUUUGGAGGAAACAAGACUAAUACUAAACAAAGAUGUUGCUGAAAAUAAUCAGCUGACUAGGUAGCACCAACCUGAAAUUCCUACUCUCCUACAAAGACCUCCUGUGAUCACUUCCCAGACAAACUUCUUGCACUUGAACUGAUGCAGAGACUUCUGGAAGGGUCACAAAUCGAAGUAAUCUCCUUGGAGUAAGUCAGUGAAGAAAUGAAUCUAGUAAUGAAUUCAGAUUGAUCUGUCUGUCAAUUCCCAAAUCAUUCAGUUUGGUGCAGCUCUCCUAGAAUCUUUAGAUGCUUUAAACUCUGCUGUCUUUUACAAAAAUAAAAUAAAAUGGAAAAUAUUUCAUUUGAUAUACUUCCUUCCUCUCCUCUCAAAGUGCAUAAUGCUUGAAAGCAAGCUCUCAUGUCUGAGAGUGUACAAUCUUGAUGUAGAAAAUUAGGCACAAAAUAAAAAAUGAAAAAUUUUGAACUAAUGUUCUCAAAGCCUCUACAUAAUGACAGCUUUUAUGGCCCAGU